rnacentral:rRNA from 1 species
AUUGAACGCUGGCGGCAUGCCUUACACAUGCAAGUCGAACGGCAGCACGGGGGCAACCCUGGUGGCGAGUGGCGAACGGGUGAGUAAUGCAUCGGAACGUGCCCAGUAGUGGGGGGAUAGCCCGGCGAAAGCCGGAUUAAUACCGCAUACGUACUGAGGUAGAAAGCGGGGGACCGAAAGGCCUCGCGCUAUUGGAGCGGCCGAUGUCGGAUUAGCUUGUUGGUGGGGUAAUGGCCUACCAAGGCGACGAUCCGUAACUGGUCUGAGAGGACGACCAGUCACACUGGGACUGAGACACGGCCCAGACUCCUACGGGAGGCAGCAGUGGGGAAUUUUGGACAAUGGGCGAAAGCCUGAUCCAGCAAUGCCGCGUGUGUGAAGAAGGCC